rnacentral:rRNA from 1 species
GGCGGCGUGCUUAACACAUGCAAGUCGUACGAGAACUCUUCUGCUUGCAGAAGAUAGUAAAGUGGCGCACGGGUGAGUAACGCGUGGGUAAUCUACCUCUAAAUCGGGAUAACCCGCCGAAAGGCGAGCUAAUACCGGAUAAUAUCUUUAAAACUUAGGUUUUUUAAGAUCAAAGGUGGUCUCUACAUGUAAGCUACUGUUUGGAGAUGAGCCCGCGUACCAUUAGCUUGUUGGUAGGGUAAUGGCCUACCAAGGCCGCGAUGGUUAGCUGGUCUGAGAGGAUGAUCAGCCACACUGGAACUGACACACGGUCCAGACUCCUACGGGAGGCAGCAGUGAGGAAUUUUGCGCAAUGGGGGAAACCCUGACGCAGCAACGCCGCGUGAGUGAUGAAGGCUUUCGGGUCGUAAAGCUCUGUCAAGUGGGAAGAAAAUGCUAGAUGCUAAUACCAUCUUGCACUGACGGUACCACUAAAGGAAGCACCGGCUAACUCCGUG